GAAAGAACAAUCGGGACGACAGGUGUGUGAGAGCAGGUUUGCGCAACGGCGAGCACGACUUUCGCUCAAAUGUUUGCGGGAAUAUUCGACAGAAUUGGAUAUCUCGUGUAUACAGCGGCCUUUAUCCUCAGUAGAAUAGAAAAUGACAUUGGAGUGACGUCAGAGUGACGAGAGGAUGACGGAAAGAUGAAUUUUUAUAACUAUUUUUCCCUCAUCCCGGCGCUAUUUUCGACGUUAUCGCGAUUUUCCGUUCUACUUGGGAAUGCAUUUAAUGCGGAUAGAACAGACCCAAACUAAACGGAGAGGGAGAGAGGGGGUUACAUCAAUUCUUCAAGCGUCAGAUUUUCUUGAAGGAUCGCCUACGUUAGACUCGAACAAGCGAGCGUGGCGCUUAAAGAGUCAAAGACCGAUAAUCGAGACCGGUAUAACUGGCGACUCUCGAUUUUCGAAGCCGGCUAGCCGCGCGCGCGCGUGAAAGAUUCCUCCUCACGUCGCGGACGACGCGUCGCGUAUUUCUAUUCGUGAGAUUGUAAUUGCCUGUGUGUGUGUGUGUAUAUUUAGUGCCCGAAUAUACAGUUCAGAUCUUUAGUUAGUGGUGAUCGAAGUGCAGUGUCGUGGGAAGGCAAUUCGCGGCGGGGAUGAGGUGGGCGUAGAGUCGGCGGCGUCGCCAAGUCUGACAGGGAAUUCGAUCACCCGCUUCUACACCCGCGGUUCUCAGGUAGAAGAGGAAAUGACGUUUGGUGUCCGUUCCACCUGGAUUAAGCGCAUCCCCAGGUAGAACGGAAAAUCACGAUGACGUCGAAAUGGUGCCGGGAGAAUGGCUAUAAAAACUCACCUUUCCAUCAUCCUCUCCCCGCUCUGGCGUCAUUCCAAUAUCAUUUUCUACUCUACCCGGGAUAAAGGUCGCUGUACACAUAAGCUCCCAGAGUGCAGCGAGAUGCAGCCGGUACAGCAGCAGGCGAUCGGAUACGCUACGAACGCCCGGCCACACAACCUGCACGUCGCGUACAACGCGCAACACGCUCGAGGGAAAAUCGACCGGUCUAAUCGUGCGUAUAAUUAUAAAAAGCACGCCUUUUUACCGCACGGUCUUCUUCCCUCGUGCGUGUCGGCCGCGCGAAUUCGGCGAGAUUGUCUGGACGAGUCUUGGAGCGAGGGAACUGGCACGACUGGCCGCUCGACGAGACCGCUCGACGGCUCACCGACGACUCGGUGACGUUUCGGCCGAAAUUGACGUACGAGCGCGACGCCGCGCACAAGCCGAGAGACCCCCCUCCCCCGCCGUCGUUGGUCGUAAU